rnacentral:lncRNA from 1 species
GUCCAUUUGGACAAAUCUUUAAUGCCUAAUGUCUUUACUGAUCACCAUCAUUGGCAUUCUUCUACUAUUGAUUCCAUCAAAGCUUCUGUUCCUUCAUCAGUAGACAGAUUCCACUCUGCUCCAAAACUUGUUUACUCUUAUGAUCAUGUGUUUCAUGGCUUCAGUGCUGUUUUGUCCAAAGAUGAACUGGCAGCGUUGAAGAAGUCACCAGGUUUCAUUUCAGCUUAUAAAGACAGAACUGUGGAACCUGACACUACUUACACAUUUGGUUACCUGAAGCUCAAUCCUUCAUACGGGUUAUGGCCAGCUUCUGGUUUAGGCCAAGAUAUGAUCAUUGGUGUUCUUGACAGUGGCAUCUGGCCCGAAUCUGCAAGUUUUCAAGAUGACGGUAUUCCUGAAAUCCCUAAAAGAUGGAAAGGAAUUUGCAAUCCAGGCACCCAGUUUAACACUUCAAUGUGCAACAGAAAACUCAUUGGGGCUAAUUACUUCAACAAGGGACUUUUGGCUGAAGAUCCCAAUCUGAACAUUUCCAUGAAUUCUGCUAGGGAUACUAAUGGUCACGGCACACAUUGCGCUUCCAUUGCUGCUGGGAACCUUGCGAAAGGUGUUUCCCAUUUUGGAUAUGCACAAGGAACAGCAAGAGGGGUUGCCCCACAAGCUAGGAUAGCUGUAUACAAGUUUAGCUUUCGUGAAGGAAGCUUAACAUCGGAUCUAAUUGCUGCUAUGGACCAAGCUGUUGCAGACGGUGUUGACAUGAUAUCCAUUUCUUUUAGUAACCGUUUCAUUCCCUUAUAUGAAGAUGCUAUAUCUAUUGCUUCUUUUGGAGCUAUGAUGAAGGGAGUGCUGGUUUCAGCUUCAGCUGGAAAUCGAGGUCAUAGUUGGGGAACUGUAGGCAAUGGAUCUCCAUGGAUCUUGUGCGUGGCAGCAGGCUUCACCGACCGGACGUUUGCAGGAACAUUGACUUUGGGCAAUGGAUUAAAAAUAAGGGGGUGGAGCUUGUUUCCUGCAAGAGCCUUUGUCAGGGAUUUUCCGGUGAUUUACAAUAAGACUCUAUCUGAUUGCAGUUCAGAUGCGUUGUUAUCACAAUUUCCUGAUCCCCAAAACACCAUCAUCAUUUGUGACUACAAUAAACUUGAAGACGGUUUUGGUUUUGAUAGUCAAAUUUUUCACGUCACUCGAGCAAGAUUCAAAGCAGGUAUAUUUAUCUCUGAAGAUCCAGCAGUGUUCAGGGUAGCUUCUUUUACCCACCCGGGAGUUGUGAUUGACAAAAAGGAAGGGAAACAAGUCAUCAAUUACGUUAAAAACAGUGUUUCUCCCACAGCUACCAUAACAUUCCAAGAAACAUAUGUGGAUAGAGAAAGGCCAAGCCCAUUUCUUCUUGGAUACUCAUCACGAGGGCCCUCCAGAAGCUAUGCAGGAAUCGCAAAGCCAGAUAUUAUGGCUCCAGGGGCACUUAUUCUUGCAGCAGUUCCACCUAAUAUCCCUUCGGUUUCUAUUGAGAACCUACAAUUAACCACUGAUUACGAGCUUAAAUCAGGCACAUCCAUGGCUGCACCUCAUGCAGCUGGAAUUGCAGCAAUGUUAAAAGGCGCACAUCCUGAUUGGAGUCCUUCAGCAAUUCGCUCUGCCAUGAUGACAACCGCAAACCAUUUGAAUAGUGCACAAGAUCCUAUUACAGAGGACGACGACAUGGUAGCCUCGCCUCUAGGCAUCGGAUCAGGGCAUGUUGAUCCAAACAGGGCACUUGAUCCCGGCCUAGUAUAUGAUGCUACUCCACAAGAUUACAUAAAUCUUAUAUGCUCUUUGAAUUUCACAGAAGAGCAGUUCAAAACAUUCGCAAGAUCAUCAGCCAAUUAUCACAACUGCUCAAAUCCAUCAGCUGAUCUCAAUUAUCCAUCAUUCAUUGCCUUCUAUUCAUACAGCCAGGAGGGUAACUACCCCUGGUUGGAACAGAAAUUCAGGAGAACCCUUACAAAUGUUGGUAAAGGUGGGGCAACUUAUAAAGUAAAAAUAGAGUCUCCCAAGAACUCUACAAUUUCAGUGUCACCACAAACAUUGGUGUUCAAGAACAAAAAUGAGAAGCAAAGCUAUACUUUGACAAUUCGCUAUAGAGGCGACUUCAACUCAGGUCAAACUGGGUCUAUCACUUGGGUUGAAAAGAAUGGAAAUCGUUCAGUAAGAAGUCCAAUAGUGUUAACUACCACAGUUGAUUUGUGGGGUGCAGAAGAUUAAGAUUUAUGAUCAUGACGUUAUGUAUGCUUAAUGAACAAGUUUGUGUUAGAAAGAGUUCAAUAAGCUUUCCUAGCAAUGUACUACAUAUAAAUAAUUUGCCUAAUAAGAUAAACAGCAUAGAACUCUUUUAGCAUGAAAUAUUUCUUUUAGCAUUUGAAAAAGUUUAAAAUAACAUACUGGAGAUAUUUAUCAAUUAUUAAAAAGUUAAACAUAAAUGUUUCUGGUUGGAAAUCCAAAUACUUUUCAAACGAUAAUUUGGAAUGAACAAUAUAAGUGAAGAAGUUGAUGGAUCGAUGACAAUUUUGAGCCUUUCUUAGAGGGCAUGGCAAUAUUGAAAAAAUUAUUUUGUUUGUUAAACAGAAGACAUUUUCAAUUCAAUACCAGAUCUCAAACAGAAAGACAUUUUCUAUCUUAAAGUUCGAACCUGAAAUUUAGUAGGACAGAAUCUCAACUGUCCCACCAUAUUAGUGUAUGUACUUUUAAAUUCUGGUUAAACCCAAAAGUUAGUAGCUCACGAGGUAAGAAUUCAUUAAGUCCAUCCAUAUAACUAAGCCACUAGUUUAUCCCCCGAAACUCUAACAGCAGAGUUACUAAUUCUUAAAGCAUAAUUAAUUUCAUCAGUUGUGAAUGAAUUUCCAGAAUAUCUAUCAACUUCCGGAGGCAGAUAGAGACACGAGUAACAAACUUCACUUCACUUCAUGUUGUUGAUGCUCUACUACUAAUUCUGCAAGUUACAUGAUGAUCAGAAUCUAUAUGCAGAUGAUCCUAGAUUGGAUCGGUAAGUUCUUUGUUACUAUGACACUCUCUUAGUGAGGCUCUUUAACGAAUGCUUAAGCCUUGAACAUAAAUUGUGUAAAUGAACAUUCAUAUCAAAUUAUUUGUGAUGAUGGGUGUUAGAUUAGCGGGCUGGAUCAAACUUAGAACGUGUUAAAGUGGAUUGAUUUCGUAACCAAAUAAUGACCAAUCCAAGAAACACAAUCAAAUGAUUUCCCUGAAAACCCAAAUACUAACAGUGUAGGUACAUACAUACGUUUAUUUGGUUUAAAGUAAGUUGUAAAGGAUCUUCAAGAUCCCCAGACUUCUUACAGUGUGAUUUCCAUUCUUUUCAACCCAUAAUUAACACAAAACUUCGGAUUGCCUCUAUAGUGAAUACUCAAACUAUAGCUCUUUUUCUCAUAUUUUCUCCCAAAAGCUAAAACUUGUGGGGAUACUGAUAGUCUGGCAUUUUCUGGGAGUUUCCACUUUUGCUGUAUAUUUAGCUGCACCAGAACCAACAUUCGGUAACCAUCCUUGUGAAUUUCUUGACCAAUCAAGGGAAAUUUUUCCUCUCAAGGUCAGAUUCCCAUAGAGCAAUGCAUGAUGGAUAGUUGAGAUCAGCUGAUGGAUUUGAGUAGUUGUGGUAAUUGGCUGAUGAUCUUGCAAAUGUUUUGAAUUGCUCUUUAUAGUGCAUAUAAGAUUGACGUAGUCUUGUGAAGUAGCAUCAUAUAUUAGUCCUGGAUCAAGAGCUUGAUUUGGAUCAAUGAAUCCUGCUCCCAUGUUUAAUGGUGUGGCUGGUUCGUUAGUAUUAGAAUAGAUGAUUCAAACACCAACAGGACAACAAUUUUCAAACUAAUCUAAGACUUGUCCUAUUCCAGAAUCAACAAUGUAACCUUGUAAUAAUUGAACCAUUCACUUUCGGUCAGAGUUAUUUUUUAGGAAACAUGAUAUAAGUUGAGUGCCCAUUUGAGAAAUUUACCCUCAACUAGUAGCUUUUAAAAGGUCAUGAGCUAUAAUUCCUAGUAAAAUAUCUUAAUUUUUUUUUUCUUGAAAGCCCUAUGUUUACCAAAAUAUCUUACAUUAUAAUGAUAUAUACCUUAUAAGACAAUUCAAGGGGACCCAACUGAAUAUAUCCACUUGGGUUGGAAAGGGUGGGAGGCAUCACUAUCUACUUAUCUAAAUGUGCUUAAUUAGCUGGCUACUUGUAGCAGUCCCUACUCUGCAGGUGGACUGGUGAGGUCUUUAAAGUCUCAUUUAUUCAAGCAAAGUCUAAGACUUCUCAACAUGUAUGUUAGUACAAAUGAAAGUAACUACUCAAAUGAAGGUAACAAGAGUUUCAAAAACCCAAACAGUUUUCAAAAAGAAUGAUAUUAUUAUCUGUUUUUUUCUUUCAGAAAUUCACUUUUAAGUUCUGUAUAGUUUGCUUAGACAUUAGAUCACUAUCCAAAAUUCAAUGGGCACGAUUAAUCCAGAAUUAGGAGAUAAAGCUCCAUCCGCCAAGUGCCAACCCCCUCCCGGCCCACUACCUACUACUGCAUGAUUGAUUUGAGUCAUUCAUCAAAUUAGGGACCACGGAAUAUGUAUCUAUGGCCUUUUCCCCCUGGUUCAGUAUCACCUCCACAGCUCCACUGCACAAUUGCUCUGUUCAUUCAUAAAACUUGAUUGGGUAAGUUUACUUUUACACAAAUCUUCUGUCAUUUCUACAUUAGUCACUCAAGAACUCUUCUCCACCUAACGGUAUUAAUUGUUACAAGGACCUGAUCUUUCAUUGCACUCUUAUAUAGAGUCAAUUGAAGAUUUGAGUGGUGUGUAGUGAAUAAAUAUGGAAACUAGAAUACUGCUGUGGCUUUAUUCUCCAUAUCUAGUCUUGUUGUCAUGGGCACUUUCUGCUCAUCUCUUUUUAGCUAUAGCACAAAGAUCCACUUAUAUUGUCCAUUUGGAUAAAUCUUUAAUGCCUAAUGUCUUUCUUGAUGACCAUCAUUGGCAUUCUUCUACAAUUGAUUCCAUCAAAGCUUCUGCUCCUUCAUCAGCAGACAGAUUCCACUUUGCUCCAAAACUUGUUUACUCUUAUGACCAUGUGUUUCAUGGCUUCAGUGCUGUUUUGUCCAAAGAUGAACUGGCAGCGUUGAAGAAGUCACCAGGUUUCAUCUCAGC